rnacentral:lncRNA from 1 species
UAGGAGCACAUAUGUGAUGCAAAUCUUGAAAGUUUUCUUACAAUGAAAAUGUCAUCACACAACACCUAUACAAAGUAAAACCACACCUUAUUAAACUGUGAAAAACAACUAAACACAACCAACACAUCAAAAAAUACAUAUAACAAUGCAUAUGUAUAUUGAACAAAUCAAAAAUACAAAACCGUCACUAAAGCAAAAUACAUAUGAAAUUUGAUAUGUAUGUAUAAAAAUACAAAUACUACCCUAUACCUUAAAAUGUAUAUUGAACCACGAAAAUACAAUGAAAGUGCAUAUGUAUCUAUAUGCUCUUUAAAUUUCUAUAACACAAUCUGCAAAAUGUAUUUGUAUUUUAAUAAAUACAAUUACGACCAAAAACAUACGUGUAUUUGUAUUUCAAUAAAUAAAAAUAUGAUCAAAACCAUAGAAAGUAUUUGUACAUUUCAACAAUCCAAAAUAGUGAAAAAUACAUAUCAAUUAUAAGAAAAAUACAUAUAGCCAAAAACCUCUUUAUGACUAGUUCCUAUAAAAAUGUAUUUUCCAUACAUGCAACCUAGCAAAUAUCAUGUAAUAUACAAAUACAAAUAAACAUAUCAUCUUCACAUAAAAUACAAUUAAAUACAUGUUAAUCAAAAAUGUCUAUUUAGCCUAUAAUCUUCACAAAAUCAGCUUGCUGAUGUCAAUAAAAUACAUAUCAGCAUACCAUGAAAUAUAUAUUAACUGAAAUACAUGAAAAAAUAUAUAUUACCCCCAAAUUUGAGAAAAAUUUUACUGAAAUCCCUAAAUAUAUAAUAGUAAAGAAAAAUACAUUUACAACAAAAAAUACAUUUUCUUCUAUGUCUUCUUCAGAUUCACUAGCAAAAGAGUUCUCAACAUCGUCAUCAACAUUGCUUGACUUUGCAAUUUCUUUGGCUUUCCUUUUCUUCUCAUAUUUUUUUAUUUUUUGUUGUUUUGGAAAAGGAGCUUUCUUAAACCAUUUUUUUUUUCAAAAUAUCAGCCAUCUUCACUGGGUCGUUACAAAACUUGGACCUAAUCUCCUUCAUACUCACAGUUUUCCUCAACUGUAAAGGAUUUGAAACAACUUUAAUUACAUCGUCUUGAGUUAAUCCAAGACUAAAAGAUGGUGCAUUAUCAGACAUCAAAUUAAUAGGUGGUAUACCCCUAUUGGUUCGUGAUUUUGAUGUGUGUUCAUCCAUUAGAGCAUAAAAAACCUUAAAGUCAGAGUUGCCAAUGGAGAAACUGAUUAUAGUACAAAAAAACUGAUAACAUACAAUAACGGAAUUAAUUAGUUACCUGAAAUAGAGGAACACUAUCCUUAGCAGAUCGUACAAAAAUCGUGAGAAAGAAAAAAAAAAUUGAAAGAGGAAAAUAUGAUAAUGGCCUAAAAAAAGGGUAAAGAAAAAAUAAAAGAAAGAGAAGGAAAAAAGCAUGAAAAGGGAAAGCUAUACACAGUAACUUUUCUAAGGCGGUAAAGUAGGGGACCACUUUUAAAAUAAUGUUAUUUUUGCUACAUAGUGUAAUUUCAUUAAAGUGUUGCUAUUUUUUAUAAUUUAAAACUUAGUUAUGCUACUCCAUAUAGUUUUUCCUAUUUAAAAUUAGGGAUCCAACUACAAUUUAGAUGUGAAACUUUUGUGACAGAGGAUCUAGUAAAAAAAAUCUAUUUGUCUCAUUUGUGACCCAUGCCUAUGGGUCACUUAACUCCUAGACCAUAAAUAUAACGCCCCAAGUCUGGUACCCUGAACGCUACACGAUGCUCAUAAUUUUGAAGGACCACAAGCUAACCCUUGUCUGGUAUCUAUAACUGAGCACUGCAUAAUACAUUGUAAAAAUGCAGAAAAUUGGCGAAAAACUUGUCAAAAGGUUCAAAUAUCUUAAAUACAACUGAAAACUGAAUACUGAUACAUCUGUUUGAAAAGCCUCUAAAUUGUCUGAAUUGUGGAGUUGAUGGGACAGGUUCCCAACUAACUCCAUCUACUAAAAUACUGAAUCUAGUGCACUAAUAAAAUAAAUAUUAUCCUCGAAUGAUAAGGACUCACUGCAACAUCUACUGCUGCUGACUGAAUCUGAACUGCUAAGGGGGCUCAGGAUCUCAUGUUUCUGAACCUAUGGUAAAAACACCAUAGCACAGAAAAGUAUGUGUCAAUACGAUGAAUGUACUGGUAUGCUAGAUGAGGUAAGGCUAAUACAGGGGUUCAUAUGCAUGGACAAUACUGACUAAAUAAUCUGAGUAUACUGAAUAAGGAUACAUGCAUGAAUGCACAAACUAUAACUAAAAUCGUAGGAACAUUGAAUACCUAAUUCUAAUAACUAAAUUUCUGAUAAAUGAGUCUACUGAUACUGAUAUCUAAUUGAAUGGGGUUGAGAUCAGUCCUAUCUAGCGGGUGAUCUCUGAAUAUACUGAUAAUGAAAAUGAUUAACUGAAUUUGAGAUCAGUCCUAUCUAGUGGUUGAUCUCUAAAUCUAAUGGUACUUCAUACUAAUUGAUCGUAUUUGAGAUCAGUUCUAUCUAACGGGUGAUCUCUGAAUCUGUAAAUGACAAAAAUAAUUGACUGUAUUUGAGAUCAGUCAUAUCUAGCGGGUGAUCUCUAAAUUCUGUGGAACUAUCUAAGUUCCUUACUGAGCCGAGUGACAGUAUCUAACAGUCUUGAUUUUUGUAAUACUGUGUUGAGUUCUAUUACUGAUACUAAAUCUGAAACUGAGAUUGUGGGAGGUAUUCAUCUAACCGACAUGCCUCGAAUCUGAACUAGUGCAGUCCAACCUGUAAUCCCAGCUGGAAGGGUGUCACUACCGUGCCACGGGUCAAAAUAACUGUUAUGGAGUCAUUCUUAAUCUAGUAGGUGACCCCUGAGAUCAGUCCUGUACUAGCGGGUCAUCCCCGAGUAUAUCAGUCCUAUCUAACAGGUGACAUCUCAUGCCUACGCUAGCUACAUAGUUCUGGAACUUAGGGAUUUCUUCUAGGGACCUCAGUCCUAUCUAGAAAGUGAGUGCCCAUCCCUAGGUUCGCUCGGUGCUGAAUUCUACUCCCAACUGAAAGACACUGAACUGACUAAUUCAUACUAGGUUUGACUGAACUGUUACUGAUCGUACUUGUUUGACUGAGCUAACUGAAUUCACUUAGUUCUGUUGACUGAAGGAAUAUUACUGAGUUCUGAAUUGAUUUAUGAACUGAAUCUGAAAUGCUACCGAUACUAUAAUUAUUGAGAUUUCAUAAGUUCUGUAACUGUCUGAGUUCUACUGAGUUCUGUAACUGACUGAGAGUACUACUAAUUAUGGCAUGACUGAGAUUAUCAUGAAACUAACACUGGCUCUAGACAAACAGUUAAUUUGUUGGGUAUAAAUACCCCACGACUUGAUAACAUAAAUAAUACAAGACAUGACAACUCGUACAUAACAUGGCAAUAGGAUAUCAUUCACAAGACAAUCAAUGAGGCAUCUCUUCAAGCACUUGGAAGUCUUAAACAUGUAAAUAUAUAGGGAAUGCAUACUAUUAUCUCAUGAUUCAUUCAAUAAGGAAUGCACAUGAGUAGGAAAGCAUGCAACAUAUCAUAAUUCAUUCACCAAAGCCUUUCAACAAACACUUGGCAUGCAUGAACUUAUACAUAAUUGGGGAUUUCUUGUCAACAUGCUAUAAUGACCCUAUUUCCUUCACACAAGCAUUUUAUCAAACAUAUGGUGAGCAUACGUUGGUCAUACAACAUUCAAUACACUCAAUUAACAUGGUUACAUCAAUCAACAUCCAUCUUGUAGGGUUUAUUAUGAAUAUCAUGAAAUCCACCAUGUACUAGAAUCAAUUCUUGAAACUUGUAGUCUAAAUCAUGAAUUAAAACUCAAAAACACAUAAUCAUGAACUUCAAUUCACAUAAAUCAUGAAAACUCAUAAAUACACAAACUUUAUAAUUUUGAAAAAGAUUCUUGAACUUCUUGGGUGGAAGGAACCCAAGAAUCAACAUCUGACAUACCUUAGUUCUUGAUUUUAUGAAGAUUAACAAUGGAAUUUUCUUGAAUUUGGAUCUUCAAUUGGAAACUCUAAACUUGUUCUUGAGAGAAAUUGAGAGAAACCACUAUAGUUUGGGUGAAAUAUGGUUGAAUCAUGUGUUUUAGGGUUAUAUAAGAGUGGGAAAAAGAUUGAAAUAACCCUAGGGUCGCGACUAUUUUAAUGACUAGAAAACUAGGUGCUGAUGCGCUGGUCGACGCAGCGCGUCGAUGCCAUCGGUGCGAUACCCAAUGUGUCGCGUCAUGAUUGCGUCGAGCCUCAGUACUUUUGACUCUGGCAGCCUUCAACAAUGUUAAUCAACACGAUAGGCGAUGCGCAGAGCCAAGAUCAUGUUGGUCUAUUGUUUUGAGACCUCAAACGUGGUCUAAACGAGGUUCAAAAAAUCCAAAACUUAUCCGAGAAUCCCUAUUGACAUUUUGGAUCAUGAAUUAGCUAAAAUAUCAAGUACCGAAGGGCGGAAAGGUCAUGAAAUAAAUCAUCAAAGUUUGAAGGCUUAUGAAAUAAAGAAGUUCCAACACUUAGCCAAAUUUUCUAAGUGUGAAGCUUCCCUUGAUAUGCGUUAAAGAGUUUUAACGACUAGAAAAAUUUAUGGGGUCUUACAAUAAAGAUAGCAAGUAAAGUUAGAGUGUUUCUCUAUUUGUUGCAUUCCCUUUCGGGAACAAAGCAGAAUCUAUUGAUACAAAAAAUACCUCAGAAAGAGUUACCCGAACUCUCUUAUUCUAUCCUUCCCAUGGAAACGGCUAUAAAGGACAGUCCCAGAGAACUCAAUCUAGCUAUUGUUGAGCUCAUCCCGCUUAUUCUAUAACCAAUAAUUGUUUUGAAAUAAAGUUGAAAUUAUUUAUUUUUUGUAAAAGUAAAUAAUUCUCAUGCCACACGGAUCUUUAAAGUAUGCAUUAGAGUCCAGACUAACAGAAGACGGUUUGAGUUGGUAUCUGGUUUGUACAUUCAGGUGUGAGAAGAUGUUGAUGGUAUAUACUAGAAAGAUAGUGUAAUUAGGAAGAGAGUUUGUGUAUUAUGUACAAGGUAGUAUAUUUUGAUUUUGUUAUUUUAAUAGGCUGCAGGUAUCCUCCUGCUUUGUAUUGAUACAUUUGGUGAUUAAUAAAGUUCUUUAAUUAACAAAGAAAAGAACUCUUUUUCUAUGUAACUUCAAAUAUUAGGAUUUCUUUUUAAAUAUCUAUCAAUCCAUAUCCAAAUGUCAUAUACUCUUUUUUUUGGCAAUUAACUGUGUAUAUAUCAUACUAAUAAGCAAAAACAGCUAUUGCAACCUACAAAGGAUUAGAGAACUGGUCCCCUAGAAUAGGUUGAACCAAGUACCUCCAUCUCAAAUUCAAACAAAUAAAGUAGAACCAGUCAAAACUAACAAUUAAACUAAUUACAAAUUCUUUGUAUACUACUGUGGCUACCUCUAACUCUCUUUGAGCCUGUGAAUAGUCUAAAUCUUACCUCUAACUCUCUUUGAGCCUGUGAAUAGUCUAAAUCUUUCUCUAAUAUCUUUUUGUAAUUGUGUAGCAAAGAAUGUUGAGUUAGCUAUCACCCCUCUAUGCAAUUUUCAAUUUUGAGUUUGCUAAGUGUAGUAGAUGAGUCCUCCGUACAGUGCAGCUGGAAUUACCUUCUUAAAUCCCUUUUAGUACCUAAUUUUUAUCGAGUGCAUACACUCUUUAACCUUUUUAGUAGGGAGAGGGAUACCUGGUCAAUUACUCAAUGUCCCUCACCUUAGUGAUUCAUCUACAAUCCACAAAUAAAUGUUGAUGAGUCUCUUGUAUAUCUAAAUCACAUAAACAACAAUCAGAAUUCCCAAAUAUAGGUACCUAUAGCCUCAUUAAUAUUGUCUUAGUAAGAAGCCUUUCCUGGUAGGCAAACCAUAAGAUCAUCCUAUGUCUAGGCAACAACACAAAACUCCAAAAUAAUUCAAACUCUCUUAAUCUAGUCAUAGGUCCCAUCAAUUCAAUAUAGCUUCAAGAUACUAAGUAACAUCUUGACUCAGUUAAUUUGUAAGUCCCUCUUUUAUAUUAAUGAAUCAUUUGUCUUUUAGACUAUGCAGCUUCUUCCAAUACCAACUACUAUCUUGUGGUGGAGUAUGCUCCCAGACAUUAUCAUUUAUUUUCAUAUACACUUCAUUGACCCAUUUCAGCCACAAAAUAUCCUUUUUAGUAGCUAAUUACCACUAUAGUUUUCCAAUAAAUGCAAUAUUUCGAUCGUCACAACCUUUGAUAUUCAAACCUCCAAACUUCUUUGGUAAACAUACUCUUAGCCAAGAUACCAAGUAAACUCUUCUGUGACUUUCAAUUUUAUCCCAAAGAUAUUCCUUACACUUUUUAUCUACUUCCUUCAACACACUUUGUGACAAGAUAAAUACAUUCCCCAAAAGGUGAAUAUAGAGAAUAACGCUGUAUUUAUAAAUUGCAAUCUGCCAGCAUAUGAAAGUUGUGUAAUACCCCGUAUUUUUAUGUAGCUUCGAUUCGUCCCUAGAACAUCAAAGAUUUUACUUUAUAGAUGAAGAUCUUUUAUUCCCUGUGGUAUUUUCAAGAUUUUGACUUUUUAUCAUGAGAAAAAUUGAAUAAGCUUUCCAUCAAUACCAAAUUCGCCCAAAUCCGACACUCGGGCGAAUAGUUAGAGUCAUUUUAGUAAGAAAAUGUACCACCUGAUACUUUAGCGCAUCGCGGAGUCAGCCAAAAUGGCAAUCGUCAAAAUACAGUGAGCCUCCGCGAUUAUGACACGUCGCGCCAAGGCUCAAUUUCAGAGUUGUCAAUUUCCAGUGCUCCAACGUGAUUCCACCUCAUCACGGUGCCUUUCCAGUUCAUAACCAAGGUGGCAACGCGAUUUCCACCGCAUAGCGCCACCAACCAUUUUCCCAAUUGUCCAAUUUUCAGUGAGCUGGUGCGAUUUCACCACGUCGCGCCAGCAUGAAAAAUUAAAAUUUUCAAAUUUCGUUAUUUAAUUCUAAGGACCAAUUGGUAAUUUCCUAAAGAUCAAUCUAUACACAGGAUUUAAACCCUUAAUAGCCAAAAUUGUUCAUUUAUUUUCACUAUUCUGCAAGAACAAAAGCAUUCUCUCUCAAAGAUAGAAACCCCUAGCCCUCAAGUUUCAAAAGCAAUCUCAAGAAUCCCUCCAAGAGUCUUCAAGAAAUUUAACAAUCUAGAUUUUCAGGUAUGUUAGAUGUUGAUUCUUGGGUUCCUUCCACCCAAAAAGUUUAAGAAUUCUUUUCUAAAUUCAAAAAUUAUAUAUUUAUGAGUUUUCAUGAUUCAUGUGAAUUGAAAUUGAAGUUCAUGUUGUUAUAGAGUUUUAAUUCAUAUUUUGUUUACUAAGUCCCAAGUUUUGAUCCUAGUAGGUGAUGUUUAUGUGAUGUUCAUGAUAAACCCCUUCAAGAUGCAUGUUGAUUGAUGUAACCAUGUUAAUUAGGUGUAUUGAAUGAAGUAUGCUCCCCAUAUGUUUGAUAAAAUGCUAAUGUGAAGGAAAUAGAGUCAUUAUAGUAUCUUGAUAAGAAAUCCCCAAUUUUAUACAAGUUAAUGUAUGCCAAGUGUUUGUUGAAAGGCCUUAGUGAAUGAAUUAUGAUAUAUUGCAUGCAUUCCUACUCAUGUGCAUUCCUUAUUGAAUGAAUUAUGAGUACUCUCUAUACAUUUACAUGUUUAAGACUUCUAAGUGCUUGAAGAGAUGUUUUAUUGAUUGUAUUGUGAAUGAUAGCCUAUUGCCAUGUUAUGUACGAGUUGCCCUGUCUUGUAUUAUUUAUGUUAUCGAGUACUGGGGGUAUUUAUACCCAACAAAUUAAACGCUUGUCUAGAGCAAGUGUCAAGUUUCAAGAUACUCUCAAUCAAGCCACGAUUAGUAGAACUCAGACAGUCCUAGAACAUAGGAAAUCUCAGUAAUCUCAGUAUCAGUAGCAUUCUAGCUUCAGUUCAGUAAUCAAUUCAGAACUCAGUAAUAUUUCUUCAGUCAACAGAACUCAGUGAACUCAGCUUAGCUAAGUUAAUCAGUACGAUCAGUAACAGAUUCAGCUCAGCCUAGUACAGUCUAAGAAUAAGCUCAGAGUCUUUCAGUUGGGAGUAGAAUUUAGCACCGAACGAGCCUAGGGAUGGGGGAUCACCCGUUAGAUAGGUCUGAGAUCCCUAGAAGUAAUCUCUAAGUUCCAAAACUACGUAGCCAGCGUAGGUACGAGAUGUCACCUGUUAGAAAGGACUGACAUACUCAGGGAUCACCCGUUAGGUAGGACUAAUCCCAGAGGUCACCAGUUAGAUAGGACUGACUCCACAAAAGUUGUCUUUACCUAUGGCACGGUACUGACACCCUUCCAACUAGGGUUAUAGGUUAGACUCCAAACUUAGCUAGAAGGGGUAUGUCGGUUAGAUGACUACCUCCAAUAGUCUCAGCUUCAGAAUCAGUCUUCGUGAAAAAACUCAGCUCAGUAGCAUAAAUUCAGGACUGUUAGAUACAGUCACUCAAUAGUAUUAUCAAUGGAUUGAGAGAUCACCCGCUAGAUAGAACUGAUCUCAAAUUUAGUCAAGCAGUAUCAGUAUCAGUACCAACAGAUUCAGAGAUCACCCAUUAGAUAGGACUGAUCUCAACUACAGUCAAUUAGUAUCAAGUACCAUUAGAUUCAAAGAUCACCCGUUAGAUAGGACUAAUAUUAGAUUUAGUUAAUUAUCUUCAUUAUCAAUAUAUUUAGAGAUCACUCGCUAGAUAGAACUGAUCUCAACCUCAGUCAAUCAGUAUCAGUAUCAGUAGACUCAGUAAUUAGAAAUCCAGUUAUUAGAAUUCAAUAUUCAGCAUUCAGUGUUACUAUGAUUUCAGUUAUAGUUUAUGCACUCUUGCAUGUAUCCUCAUUCAGUAGUCUCAUGAUAUUUAGUCAGUUGUGUUCAUGCAUGUAAACUCCUGCAUUCAGCCUUACCUCAUCUAGCGUACCAGUACAUUCCCACAUACUGACGCAUACUUUUAUCUUGCGCUAUGAUGUCUUAUACCAUAGGUUUAGAAGCACGGGAUCCAUAGCACCCUUAGCAGUUCAGAUUCAGCCAGCAGUAGUAGACUUAGCAGUGAGUCCUCAUUAUUCGAGUAUGUUUCUUAUUUUAUUAUUGCAUUAGAUUUAGCAUUUUAGUAGAUGGAGUAAGUUGGGGGAUUGUCCCAUCAACUCCACAGUUCAGAUAACUUAGAGGCUUUUUCAGACUAAAUGUUCAAACAGUUGUAUUAGUAUUCAGUUUUCAAUUGUAUUUCAGUUUUUGAACCUUAUGGCAAGUUUUUCGCCAGUUUUCCAUAUUUUUACAGUGUAUUAUUUAGUGCUCAGUUACAGAUAUCAGUCAAGGGUUAGCUUGUGAUCGUUUAGGAUUAUGACCACCGUGUAGCGACUGGGGUACCAGACUCGGGGCGUUACAAGUUGCUUGGAGUAACCUUUGUUGAUUGAUUCUACUAGUAAUCUUUUCCACCAACUAAUCAGAAUCUACUUUGUUCUACCUCCUUGAAGAUAGAGGUAGACCUAAAUAUCUCAUAAGUAAGAAUCCAAGAGUGAACCCUGUCAUAUUAAGUAUACCUGCUUAACAUCAUCUUCAACACCUGCUAAAUAGAUGUUGGAGUUCUCCAAGUUAGCUACAAGCCUAAUUGCUACACGAAAAUGUUUAAUUGUUUCCACAAUUUUCUGAAUUGAAACCAAGUCAUCCUUACAGAAUGAUAUUAAAUCAUCAGUAAAUAUCAAGCAUGUAAGCUUAGUAUUCUUACACAUUGGGUGAUACUGAAAUUCAGUCAGUGCAUCCAGCUUCUUCAGUGUUCUUUUUAAAUAUUCCAUAACAAGAACGAAUAACAAAGGAGACAUAGAAUCUCCUUGCCUCAACCCCCUCUUUCCUUCAAAUCCCUGACCUACACCAUUAAUCUUGAUAGUGAAUUGAUUAGAACUCACACACCUCAUGACAAAAUUAAUAAAUGAAAUAGAAAAUCCAUAUCCUUUUAGUGUUUCUUCUAAAAAUUCUCAACUAACCAUGUCAUGUGCCUUCUUCAUGUCAAUUGUCAUCAUAUACCUUGAAAUAAUUUUCCUACUAUAGUGUCUUAAAAGGUCAUGACAUAUUAAGACAAUGUGUAUUAGGCAUCUACCUUUCAUAAAAACACCUUGGUUUUCAGCCACUAUCACUAAUACAACUUCUCUUAGCCUCUAACAAAUAAUUUUAGAAAUGCAUCUGUAGACCACAUUGCAAUAUGAAAUAGGUCUAUACUGACUUGUAAACUGUGGAUUAUCCACUUUUGGUAAUGUAAUAUUAGUAGCAUUGACUUACUUGAGCAACCUACCAUUAUCAAGGAACUCCAUUAUAGCAUCAGAUAUCUCAGCACCCACAAUACUUCGGGAGGAUUUGAAAAAUCCCCUACUAAAUCCAUCAGGUCUUAACACUUAUAAUAAACAUAGAAGACUUAACUUUACUGAUACUGUAUGAUUACAACAGUUUUAAUUACUGACAAGUAUUUAGAAAAGGUUCAUCCUUUAGUAUAUAUACCUCAGCAGGUAUCCUAUUCUCUUGUUUAGUACCCGAUAAUUUUUUAUAGAAUUUUAGAAAAACUGAUGCUAUUGCCUGAGUUUCUGUUUGCAGAACCCCUUGAUCAUCAGUAAUCUGUAUAAUGGCAUGUUGCAGUUUCUUUUGUUUAAUGACUAGAAAUAAAUACCUCGUACAAUCAACACCUUGUUUUAGCCAUGUUGCCUUACUUCUCUACACAAAAACCAUUUCUGCGAAGUAAGAGGAAUUUCUGAACUUCUGGCUCUUCUCUUUUUCAAUGCCAUGUAGUACCACAUUUUAAGGAUCACCAUGUAAAGCUACUUGUGCUUGAAUAAGAGCUUGUUUGUAUUCAUCUGCUUCAGUCAAAAGAUUGCUAAAAUAUUGUGUAUUAAGUUGUCUCAGCAUUGGCUUCAAUCUCUCCAGUUUCUUCACCACUUUGAACAUACCAUAACCAUGAAUUAUUUGAUCCCAACCUUGCUUCACUACCUCUUCAAAUGUAGGGUGAGUCACCCAAAUAUUGCAAUACUUAAAAGUUGGUCUAUUAUAUCUCUAAGCAUGAGGCACGCAUAUCUUCAGUGGUGUAUGAUCACUUGGUCCUUUAGGAAGAGAAUAAGCCCUAAAGCUAGGCAUGGUAUUCAACCAUUCCUAGUUGAAGAAAAUCUAAUCAAUCUUGGACAUAAUUCUACUCUCACCAUGUCCAACCCUCCAGGUAUAUUUACUUUUAGUUACUGGCAUUUCCAUCAGACCACAACUCUCAAUACAUUGGUGAAAAUCCUCAAUCUCAAUCAUAGUUACCUGAGUAUCUCUAAUUUUAUCUGCAGUAUUUAGUACUGAGUUAUAAUCACCCAUUAUUAACCAGGGCAAAGUCAUCCCUCUAUUUAAAUUGACUGUAUACUCCUACAAGCUUUUUCUUUAUUCCUGUCUAUUAAAAACAUACACUAUAGUGAGGCCAUAACUCUUUUGCAGGCUUAUAUGAUACACCUGGCAAGUCAAAGCUUGAUCAAUGCUACUUAUUAUGUCGCAUAAAAAUAGUCAGGUCUCCAUGUUAACCAUACUCUACCAUUAUAUUGGUGAUUGAAAGUAGUAUGUAAUCAUAACCACCAAACAAUUUGUUGGCCAACUGAUCAAUUUUAUCCACCAUUCCACCUUAACCUUUGCUUCCAACAACCCUACUAAACCAAUAUUUUCAGCGGUACAAAGGAGUCUGAUCUCUAUUUUUUUGUUAGGGGCAUUCAUGCGCCUAAUAUUUUAGCUCAUCAAACUAUCCAUUUAUAAUUAGGUGGUUAGUUGGUUCACCCCCAUUUAUACCACAAUGACCAAAUCUGGUCUCUACAUUAGUUUGCACAUCCUUACUCAUACUUGGAAAGAAUCAAGUAGUUCACUUGUUGCCUCUUCUUUCCCAACUUUCAUGCGUUAUACACUUUGCGCCCUUUUUACUUAUCUACACCAUAUUUGUUCCCUUGCCAUCAUCUACUACCUUCCCUUUUUAUUUACUUGUAUACUGCUUGUGCGAAUGCUCUUCCCUAGUAACAUUUGCAUUAGUUGGAACCUCCCUGUCAUUAACCUGAACGUAUGGUUGAGGUGUUUCUUUUAGCUCUACAAGCAAUUUCUUCAUGCCUAUACGUUUGAUAAAAUUUACAUAGAACAUGUUUCUAAUCAUACUGCACCUUUUGUUCAAUUAUUAACCUAUUCUUAUUUUUAAAAACUACCUUCUCUGGUAACUUAGCAUCCAUCUUCACCUUAAUCAACAACCUUGCAAAACUCAAACCCAACUUCUUCUCAGUCUGAGUAUUCUCCAUCAAUGGCUUCCCAAUGAGGCUACCAAUUUUACUCAGUGCCUUUUUACUCUAAUACUUAAAUUUCAACUUAACCCAAAUAGGAACAGUUGACAAUUCUUCCUUAGGAAACUACAUAUCAGGAUGGCAUGCUUUCACUAUCAUCGACUUGUUAUCAAACUUAUAAAUCCCCCCUUAAAGCACCUCAGAUUUGUCCAAACUAAUUUGAAAUCGAACAAGAACAAUCCUAUUUUUAACAUAGCAACUUUAUCAAUACCAUGAUUCCCCCAUAAUCUUAUCACAUAGCUAUUCAUGACUGCAAAAAAUGAGCUCCCAAUACAUAACAGACUAUAGCAUGUUGCUAGUAUUUCAAUUCAAUUCUAAUAUCAUCCAGAUCAAUUUCACCUACAUGUGAAUCAUCACACAGAUCAGGCACAACAUAUUCUAAGUAAAAACAUGCAUUUGAGAGUUUAGUCAAGCCAAACUUAUUCCACACUGGUCCCUUUUUUUUUGAAAUCCAAGUUGGCUUCAACCUCAUCUGUCCACGACAUCCUAGUGCUUACCUUCACUUCAAUACUUUUUAUUUCAUUAGAAUUGGGCUCUAAUCGACCUGGUUCUUUCAUCGAACACGUAGAAGGUAUUGUUCCAUUGAUCUCUACACUUGUGUCUCCCUUACAGGUUCCUUGUACAAUUUCUCUCAAUUCAUCAUACAAUUCGCUCAACACGGUUGAAAAUGAACUUACAUCAUCAUUCAACUCAGUGUAUUCAGUAUUACGAUUGUUCAUCAUAAUUGUGCACAAUUGCACUGAAUUAUUCGUUACAGUGCUCACCCUUGUCUGCUUUCUUCUUCCCUUAGUUCAAUUUCCAUGAUACGCAGCUGAUUCCUGUGCCAUUUUCUCCUUCUAAGAGGGAAUCAGAGCUCUCUUCUCCUUGGAUGGCGCAAGUUAGGCUAACAUGCACUAAGAGAGAAAGAGACUCAUAUAUGUGUCUUUAUUAGGAUUAUAAUACGUAUUUACCCUGAACGGUAUAUGUGAUUUUUUUAUUUGUCCACUUUCCUAUGAAAAAGAAAUUAAGAACCUG